rnacentral:rRNA from 1 species
CCCUUAGAUGUCCGGGGCCGCACGCGCGCUACACUGAAGGAAUCAGCGUGGCUUUCUCCCUGACCCGAAAGGGUUGGGAAACCCGUUGAAUCUCCUUCGUGAUAGGGAUUGGGGCUUGAAAUUGUUCCCCAUGAACGAGGAAUUCCCAGUAAGCGCGAGUCAUAAGCUCGCGUUGAUUACGUCCCUGCCCUUUGUACACACCGCCCGUCGCUACUACCGAUUGAGCGGUUUAGUGAGGGCCUCGGAUUGGUCUCGGCCCGCUCUUUACCGGGCGGCGCCGUUGGUCGAGAAGACGCUCGAACUUGAUCGUUUAGAGGAAGUAAAAGUCGUAACA